rnacentral:rRNA from 1 species
AUGCGGAGGGUGCAAGCGUUACUCGGAAUCACUGGGCGUAAAGCGCGCGCAGGCGGGCUGAUAAGUUGGAUGUGAAAGCCUACGGCUCAACCGUAGAACUGCAUCCAAAACUGUCAGUCUAGAGUCUGGGAGGGGAAGAUGGAAUUAGUUGUGUAGGGGUAAAAUCCGUAGAGAUAACUAGGAAUACCAAAAGCGAAGGCGAUCUUCUGGAACAGUACUGACGCUGAGGCGCGAAAGCGUGGGGAGCAAACAGGAUUAGAAACCCUUGUAGUCC